UUGGCAAGAGUGUAAAUUGGUUGAAGUAUAUAAGGAGUAAAUUUCUAGCUGAACAUCAAUCAAGCGAGUUGUUUCACCACGAAUAAGGUUUGUGAAUUGGAUAGCUGAAUCACAAGAAACAAAAAUGUUCUGGCCUUACUGGUUUCAAGUUCUAGGGUUGAGCCUUGUGCAAAAGACACCUCGAUUACAGUGGGUAGGAAUAGCAGAAAAUGGAGCAAUACCGUCUACGGCCGUCCCAGUCAGGCCUAAUGGCGCUUCCCUCUUUUACUUCUGCGAGGUGGUAGUUUCCUCGAAGGGGGGACAAAGAAUACCUGGUACACUGAAACCAACAGACAAUUCCUGUAAAUACGAAGUAGACGGUGCUGUUAAGAGCUCAACAGUGUUCAAUGUUCUCGUUAACCCUAGUGGAGCCACUCUAAAGUGGAAAUACGGUAAUCCGAGGAAGGGUGUCCCCGCUGGUGCUGUAAAAUGUCAUGAAGGCGAUAACUGUUAUUUAGGACAAAGUAUUUACGGUGAUGGAAUAUGCGAGGAACUUCCCGGGAAAAUCUUCACUGGUCAGACUCAGAUGAUUAUGACCAACGACAAGAAGGUUUUUCGAUGCCCUUUUAAAAUGUACUUAGUGGAAAAAUAAAUGGAAUCAAAUUGUAUUUAUUUGGUAUAAACAUUGUGUAGUACACGGAGAAGUAAAAAUAAUUCGACCCGUCUCACAGCGGUAAUGCGAAAGCCUUUUGUUAGCUCUGUAGAUGAUGACUGACAUUUCAAUUUUUGUUUUCAUGAUUUAAAAAUUUGUUUUAGAAUUUAAUUUGCAGAAGAUAAAAAAGUUAAUAUUGAGAGGUAAUUAACUCAAUCUGAUGUCAUCCCUGAUUAAAACACAGAUCCUAUUUCGUUUCGUUUUUUUUUUAUAGUUCACACUUUCGCUUUACUUGUCUUUACUACACUAGGAUCUGGAAAAGUUGUUAUAUUACUGGCGUUUUGGGUUGAAGUGAGGGAUAAGCCAAUGAAACAGUCUACGACGGGACUUCUUGGCGUGUCAUGCACGGAACUGUGGGUAAACCAAUAGAAACGUCAACGCUGAUUGAUUAAUCAAUGUCUGACGUGAUAGGGUCCAAAGCCGCUCGUAUGACCCCUUCGAGUACAAUUUGUCAGAUCUUCAUGUAGUGUAGGCCAUCGAAAGUAUAAAAAAAAAAAGAAACGAAAUAUAGAUCUGUACUUUAAUCAGAUUGUAUUGUGAUGAUUAUAAAUCAAAUUUACACAUUAAGUUGGCAUUGACUUUACACAUACACCCUGACACGCAUACUGUCACCAUCACACAAACACAAUAUCAAUAGAAUAGGGGAGAGUGUCAUGUAGAAUAAGAACUAAUCAAAGUGUCGCACGUAUUGCUCUAGGGAAUAUAGGGAAUAUAAUUCUAUUCUGUAAUAACUUACCGUGACUAUUACUGGCAUAUUUAUAUUAGAUUGUAGAGCCUGUAAUUGCGAACUAAAAUGUUCUUUGUGAAUAAAACAAAAUUCUGACAAGGGAUCUUUUACGUGCAUUCUAAUGUAUACACGGGACCUCGGUUUUCCGUCUCAUCCAAGGACUAGACGUAAGAGCCAUAUAAUGGUGUAGCUGAAAUGUUGAUUUAUGUAUACAUAUUGCGCAGUCAGACAAUGAAUAUACGGCAACAAAGAGUGACUUUCAAAUGUUCUGGGACAGGGGCGAUAACUGCGCAUACAAUUGAUGAGCGAAAAUAUACUCAAUUUAAAUUAUAGAGUGUUCAGUGUCCCACCCCAUCCCCCUUGACGUAAUUUGAGUUUGUGUCCACUUCCAUCGACGACAAGAUAUUAUUUUUCAUUUUUAGCAUGUUCAGUAUAUAAACAUAUAACAUUCUGUCCCUGAUUUUGGUUUUUACCGCCUGUUGGUUUAAUUAAAUCUGGAGUACUACAACAAAAUAAUACCUCUCGGGGUGUUUUUUAGAGCCAAUGCAUGUCAACUAGGUGAUCUCAAAAAUAACACUGUAGAAAUAUCUAUUACAGCAUAUCUAUUAGAAAAUGUAAUAUUUUCACAUGUAUUGUGAAUAACAGUUAAAGGCAAAGUUACACUAUUUGUUUUAAAAAUUGUUCUGUCUUUAAAUUGUUUUGCUAGUUUUAUAAGAAAAAAAUUGGUAGUAAGAAAAUGUAACGUUUCAAAGGCAAUAAAAAUUAAGUGGGGUAUAUAUA